AACGACUCUCGGCAACGGAUAUCUCGGCUCUCGCAUCGAUGAAGAACGUAGCGAAAUGCGAUACUUGGUGUGAAUUGCAGAAUCCCGUGAACCAUCGAGUCUUUGAACGCAAGUUGCGCCCUAAGUCGUCAGGCUAAGGGCACGUCUGCCUGGGUGUCACGC
rnacentral:rRNA from 1 species